rnacentral:rRNA from 1 species
CCACAGCGAUGGUUGUCUGUGGGCAAGCGUGUAGGGCGUGGUGUAGGCAAAUCCGCACCAUCCACUUCAGUGUGGAGUCUGAGACGUGAUGCGGAGCCAUAUCUGGCGAAGUGGGUGAUCCUAUGCUGUCGAGAAAAACCUCUAGCGAGCAACGAGCCGCCCGUACCCCAAACCGACUCAGGUGAUCAAGUAGAGAAUACUAAGGCGAUCGAGACAACCAUGGUUAAGGAACUCGGCAAAAUGCCCCCGUAACUUCGGGAGAAGGGGGGCCGGAUCCGUGAACCCACUUGCUGGGGGAAGCGGUGAUGGCCGCAGAGAC